rnacentral:rRNA from 1 species
UGGGAAUCUUAGACAAUGGGGGAAACCCUGAUCUAGCCAUGCCGCGUGAGCGAUGAAGGCCUUAGGGUUGUAAAGCUCUUUCAGCUGGGAAGAUAAUGACGGUACCAGCAGAAGAAGCCCCGGCUAACUCCGUGCCAGCAGCCGCGGUAAUACGGAGGGGGCUAGCGUUGUUCGGAAUUACUGGGCGUAAAGCGCACGUAGGCGGAUUAGUCAGUCAGAGGUGAAAUCCCAGGGCUCAACCCUGGAACUGCCUUUGAUACUGCUAGUCUUGAGGUCGAGAGAGGUGAGUGGAAUUCCGAGUGUAGAGGUGAAAUUCGUAGAUAUUCGGAGGAACACCAGUGGCGAAGGCGGCUCACUGGCUCGAUACUGACGCUGAGGUGCGAAAGCGUGGGGAGCAAAACAGGAUUAGAUACCCUGGUAGUCCACGCCGUAAAACGAUGAAUGCCAGUCGUCGGGUUGCAUGCAAUUCGGUGACACACCUAAACGGAUUAAAGCAUUCCGCCUGGGGAGUACGGUCGCAAGAUUAAAACUUAAAUGAAUUGACGGGGUCAUAGCUGUUUCC